rnacentral:rRNA from 1 species
UUAGAGUUUGAUCCUGGCUCAGGAUGAACGCUAGCGACAGGCCUAACACAUGCAAGUCGAGGGGUAACAGGGGCUUCGGCCCGCUGACGACCGGCGCACGGGUGAGUAACGCGUAUGCAACCUGCCUGUAACAGCGGGAUAGCUCCCUGAAAGGGGAAUUAACACCGCAUAAGACCACGCUCUCGCAUGGGGACGGGGUAAAAUAUUUAUAGGUUACAGAUGGGCAUGCGUGACAUUAGUUAGUUGGUGAGGUAACGGCUCACCAAGACUGCGAUGUCUAGGGGUUCUGAGAGGAAGGUCCCCCACACUGGAACUGAGACACGGUCCAGACUCCUACGGGAGGCAGCAGUGAGGAAUAUUGGUCCAAUGGACGCAAGUCUGAACCAGCCAUGUCGCGUGCAGGAUGACUUCCCUAUAUUUUUAAAACUUCUUUUAUAUUAAAAUAAUUCCUCUUACUAUUUAAUCUUUUAACUAUACAUUAUNAAUAAAUAUCUUCUAACUCCCUCCCAACAUCCNCAAUAAUACAUAUUAUCCUAUCUUUAUCCAUAUUUAUUUUCUUUAAACNCUNCCUACNCNNAAAUAUAACUCANUNNUNAAAUCCUNCACCUUAACUAUACAAUACCCCUUNAAACUNUCUUUCUUNANUACAUUUCACCUACCCUAAAUCUCCUCUCUACCNCUNAAAUNCAUAUAUAUACCACAUAACACCUAUUCCUAAUCCAUCUUACUAAACUUUCACUNACNCUNAUNCACUAAANCNUCUCUCUCAAAAGGGAUUAGAUCCCCUGGUAGUUCCACGCUGAAACCCGGUUGGGGGUUGUUUGCGAUACACUGCAAGGGACUGAGCGGAAAGCAUUAAGUAAUCCACCUGGGGAGUACGUCGGCAACGAUGAAACUCAAAGGAAUUGACGGGGGCCCGCACAAGCGGAGGAACAUGUGGUUUAAUUCGAUGAUACGCGAGGAACCUUACCUGGGUUUAAAUGGGGAGUGACAGGCUUGGAAACAGGCCCUUCUUCGGACACUCUUCAAGGUGCUGCAUGGUUGUCGUCAGCUCGUGCCGUGAGGUGUCGGGUUAAGUCCCAUAACGAGCGCAACCCCUAUCGAUAGUUACCAGCACGUUACGGUGGGGACUCUAUCGAGACUGCCGGUGUAAACCGUGAGGAGGGUGGGGAUGACGUCAAAUCAGCACGGCCCUUACAUCCAGGGCUACACACGUGUUACAAUGGCCGGUACAAAGGGCAGCUACACAGCGAUGUGAUGCUAAUCUCCAAAUCCGGUCUCAGUUCGGAUCGAAGUCUGCAACCCGACUUCGUGAAGCUGGAUUCGCUAGUAAUCGCGCAUCAGCCAUGGCGCGGUGAAUACGUUCCCGGGC